UACGGAUUCGACAGGGGUAGUUUGAGCUUAAGUUGCGAGUCGAGGGGGUCGGCCUCGUUAAAACGCCAAAGCCAAUAACUGGCAAACAAAACAACAACUUAGCUUUAGCUGCGUAAUAGCACUUUAGCUGUUCCUCCCUCCAUCGCCCAUGUGGUAGGGUAAGGGACUCACUCUUAGUGGGCUACGCCGGUUGUCCUCCGCCUGAGGACGAAGGAAGAGAAUAAUCAGGCUAGCGAUCCGGACGCCUGUCGGCUGGCAGAUGGAUCCGCGAAAUGCGAGUAAACCGACUACACUCGUAGAAGCUUAAGUGCCAAUAUCUUUGGACGUGGGUUCGAUUA
rnacentral:tmRNA from 1 species